UACGUAGGUGGCAAGCGUUUGUCCGGAUUUACUGGGCGUAAAGAGCGCGCAGGCGGUCGUCCAAGUCGCGUGUGAAAGCCCCCGGCUCAACUGGGGAGGGUCACGCGAUACUGGUCGACUCGAAGGCAGGAGAGGGUAGUGGAAUUCCCGGUGUAGUGGUGAAAUGCGUAGAUAUCGGGAGGAACACCAGUGGCGAAGGCGACUACCUGGCCUGUUCUUGACGCUGAGGCGCGAAAGCUAGGGGAGCAAACGGGG
rnacentral:rRNA from 1 species